rnacentral:tRNA from 1 species
GACCAGUUGGCCUAGUUGGUUAGGGCGUCUAGUCUACUCCUAGAAGAACGGCGGUUCGAUUCCGUCACUGGUCA